GGGGAGGGAAGCGUGUACCUGUCGCAGCUGCUCAAGGCAGCGAGGAAAUCAAAAGCCCUCGGGUCAAAUCUAAAUAUAGAUGUGCAAGGGAAGCAUGAGAAGUGUCCCGGCAGAGCACAGCAAUGUGGCACGGCCAAGGCACUUUUCCAGCUCCAGCUGCCAAGUUGUUUCCUGUGCUGUCACUACAGCAGCGCUGACAGCUUCGGCCCCAGCCUGACCUUGCAGCCUCACCCAAAGCAGCAGAGCCCUGCUGGGAUCCCUGCGGGCACAGGACCCGGCUGUGCACCCCAAAUCACACUCCUGGGCACAGCCAUACACAGCAGCACUCCAGGGACACCUCUGCUCAUUCCACCAGCCUGCUACGUGCACUUUCUUUUAUUGCAAGCAAGGGCCCACUGCUGACAGUGAAAACAAUAUCCCUGGAAAAAAGCAAUGGCCAUUUUUUAAAAUAAAAUAAUAGUUACAAUUACAA